UGCGUAGGUGGCAAGCGUUGUCCGGAAUUAUUGGGCGUAAAGCGCGCGCAGGCGGUCUUUUAAGUCUGAUGUGAAAGCCCACGGCUCAACCGUGGAGGGUCAUUGGAAACUGGGAGACUUGAGUGCAGAAGAGAAGAGUGGAAUUCCACGUGUAGCGGUGAAAUGCGUAGAGAUGUGGAGGAACACCAGUGGCGAAGGCGACUCUUUGGUCUGUAACUGACGCUGAGGCGCGAAAGCAUGGGGAGCAAACAGG
rnacentral:rRNA from 1 species